rnacentral:rRNA from 1 species
UUAACACAUGCAACUCGAGCGGUAAGGCCCUUCGAGGUACACGAGCGGCGAACGGGUGAGUAACACGUGGGUGAUCUGCCCUGCACUUCGGGAUAAGCCUGGGAAACUGGGUCUAAUACCGGAUAUGACCUUUGGCUGCAUGGCUGAGGGUGGAAAGGUUUACUGGUGCAGGAUGGGCCCGCGGCCUAUCAGCUUGUUGGUGGGGUAAUGGCCUACCAAGGCGACGACGGGUAGCCGACCUGAGAGGGUGACCGGCCACACUGGGACUGAGACACGGCCCAGACUCCUACGGGAGGCAGCAGUGGGGAAUAUUGCACAAUGGGCGAAAGCCUGAUGCAGCGACGCCGCGUGAGGGAUGACGGCCUUCGGGUUGUAAACCUCUUUCAGCAGGGACGAAGCGAAAGUGACGGUACCUGCAGAAGAACCACCGGCCAACUACGUGCCAGCAGCCGCGGUAAUACGUAGGGUGCAAGCGUUGUCCGGAAUUACUGGGCGUAAAGAGCUCGUAGGCGGUUUGUCGCGUCGUCUGUGAAAACUCANAGCUCAACCUCGAGCUUGCAGGCGAUACGGGCAGACUUGAGUACUGCAGGGGAGACUGGAAUUCCUGGUGUAGCGGUGAAAUCCGCAGAUAUCAGGAGGAACACC